rnacentral:pre_miRNA from 14 species
GAGAAUCCUCUCUCCCAGAUAAUGGCACUCUCAAACAAGUUUCUACAUUGUUUGAAAGGCUGUUUCUUGGUCAGAAGACUCUC